CUUCAAAUUCAAUUAUCAACAACCACAAUGCUACACCAAUGGUUUCUUCAUCAGGUCCAUCCAAUGCUUCUUUUCCUCAACAAAAUCAAAGAUUAGACUUACAAAUUGGAAGGGAGGUUACCAGAGAAGAACCUAACAUAGCAGCAAGGAACUUUAGAGAGGGACCACAAGAACAACCAAAGAAAACUCAACAAUUUGAAAUUGGACAGAGUUCAUCCUGUAAACGUCAGAAGGUAAAU